rnacentral:rRNA from 1 species
ACGAACGCUGGCGGCGUGCUUAACACAUGCAAGUCGAGCGGAAAGGCCCUUCGGGGUCCUCGAGCGGCGAACGGGUGAGUAACACGUGAGUAAUCUGCCCUUGGCUUUGGGAUAACUACCGGAAACGGUGGCUAAUACCGGAUACGACAACCGUCUGCAUGGGCUGGUUGUGGAAAGUUUUUUCGGCCAGGGAUGUGCUCGCGGCCUAUCAGCUUGUUGGUGGGGUAAUGGCCUACCAAGGCUUCGACGGGUAGCCGGCCUGAGAGGGUGACCGGCCACACUGGGACUGAGACACGGCCCAGACUCCUACGGGAGGCAGCAGUGGGGAAUAUUGGACAAUGGGCGGAAGCCUGAUCCAGCAACGCCGCGUGAGGGAUGACGGCCUUCGGGUUGUAAACCUCUUUCAGUACCGACGAAGCGCCGAUGAUGGUGGUGACGGUAGGUACAGAAGAAGCACCGGCCAACUACGUG